rnacentral:rRNA from 1 species
AUGGAUUUGGGUUUCUCUGGGCCUAAGUUUACGUGGAAUAAUCGCCAAGACCCGAAGUGCCAUGUGAAAGUCCGGCUUGAUAGAGCAGUGGCCAAUUCAGAUUUUAUAAGGUUGCAUGACGAAUGCGCCGUUGAACAUGUGAUCACCACCUCCUUUGAUCAUUAUGCUAUCUUGAUCGAGCUUGCCGGGCAGCCCACCCAGAGGGCACAACGACCAGUGCAGCAAGGUUUUAAGUUCGAGGCUAUGUGGUUGCGGACAGCCGACUAUAGAGAGCAGUUGGAACGUGCCUGGAUUGAGGGGCGGAGUGGUGAUUCUUCUCUGCAGGCGACAUGGGACAAUCUUCACCGUGUCGCUGGGGCCCUUAAGUCCUGGAGUCGUGACUCUUUUGGUUCUAUCCGGCGUCAGAUCAAUAGACUGGAGCGACGACUUAAGUCCAUCCAGUCUAUGCCAGUCACGAACUCAUCUUUGGCAGAGGAAAGAUCUAUUGAGACUCAACUUUGUGAGUUAUUUGAAAGAGAAGAAAUCAUGGCUCGUCAGCGUUCGAGAGUUGACUGGUUGCGGGAGGGGGAUCGCAACACCGAGUUUUUCCAUGCUCGAGCUGCUGCCCGUAAGAGGAUCAACAAAAUCCAGCGUUUGGUCCGUGAUGAUGGGUCCUUUUGUGAUACUCAACGGGAGAUUAAAGGUUUGGUGCAACAAUUCUACAAGAAACUUUUCACAUCUGAACCUUGUGAUGCUGCUGAUGCAGUCCUGGAUGCUAUCCCUCAAAAGAUU